rnacentral:rRNA from 1 species
AGUGAACGCUGGCGGUAGGCCUAACACAUGCAAGUCGAACGGCAGCACAGUAAGAGCUUGCUCUUACGGGUGGCGAGUGGCGGACGGGUGAGGAAUACAUCGGAAUCUACUUUUUCGUGGGGGAUAACGUAGGGAAACUUACGCUAAUACCGCAUACGACCUACGGGUGAAAGCAGGGGAUCUUCGGACCUUGCGCGAUUGAAUGAGCCGAUGUCGGAUUAGCUAGUUGGCGGGGUAAAGGCCCACCAAGGCGACGAUCCGUAGCUGGUCUGAGAGGAUGAUCAGCCACACUGGAACUGAGACACGGUCCAGACUCCUACGGGAGGCAGCAGGGGGAAAUAUUGGACAAGGGGCGCAAGCCUGAUCCAGCCAGACCGCGGGGGUGAAGAAGGCCUUCGGGUUGUAAAGCCCUUUUGUUGGGAAAGAAAAGCAGCAGGUUAAUACCCCGCUGUUCUGACGGUACCCAAAGAAGAAGCACCGGCUAACUUCGU